CGUAGGGUGCGAGCGUUAAUCGGAAUUACGUGGGCGUAAAGCGCGCGCAGGCGGUUUGUUAAGAUAGGCGUGAAACUCCCCGGGCUCAACCUGGGAACUGCGCUUAUGACUGGCAAGCUAGAGUACGGCAGAGGGGGGUGGAAUUCCACGUGUAGCAGUGAAAUGCGUAGAGAUGUGGAGGAACACCAAUGGCGAAGGCAGCCCCCUGGGUCGAUACUGACGCUCAUGCACGAAAGCGUGGGUAGCAAACAGGAUUAGAUACCCUGGUAGUCCACGCCCUAAACGAUGUCAACUAGGUGUUGGGAGGGUAAAACCUUUUAGUACCGGAGCUAACGCGUGAAGUUGACCGCCUGGGGAGUACGGCCGCAAGGUUA
rnacentral:rRNA from 1 species